AACGAACGCUGGCGGCAGGCCUAACACAUGCAAGUCGAGCGCCCCGCAAGGGGAGCGGCAGACGGGUGCGUAACGCGUGGGAAUCUACCCAUCUCUACGGAAUAACGCAUGGAAACGUGUGCUAAUACCGCAGACGUCCUUCGGGAGAAAGAUUUAUUGGAGAUGGAUGAGCCCGCGUUGGAUUAGCUAGUUGGGGGGGUAAAGGACUACCAAGGCGACGAGCCAUAGCUGGUCUGAGAGGAUGAUCAGCCACACUGGGACUGAGACACGGCCCAGACUCCUACGGGAGGGAGCAGUGGGGAAUAUUGGACAAUGGGCGCAAGCCUGAUCCAGCCAUGCCGCGUGAGUGAUGAAGGACCUAGGGUUGUAAAGCUCUUUCACCGGUGAAGAUAAUGACGGUAACCGGAGAAGAAGCCCCGGCUAACUACGUGCCAGCCGCCGCCGUAACAC
rnacentral:rRNA from 1 species